UUCAGUUCAAUACCCCAGUAGACAGUGUUUUGAAGCAGAAUUCCUCUGGAGUUAAUCCCAUUCUCUCGUAUAUGUUGAGGAGCUGCUGUAUCAUAAUGGAGGAUUGUCUUCCACCAGCAAUUAGAGUUAGAGUAUAUUUCUUUUAUGAUUCCAAUCCAUUCCUCUUUUAGUGUGGCU